GGGAACGAUUAACACACCUCCCACAUCUGAGCGGGCUCCCAUGUACUGCUCUCAAAUGUUACAUUAUAUUCAGUAAUUGCGCUGUACAAUGUUUUGAACCAGAGAUAGCAAGCACGGAAUAUCCUAUUGUACAGUAAAAUGAUAUCUUUGCUACAAUUAACAUCUUUCAUGACAUUUGAAAAACACAAUCCUGUUAACCCCAUCUCUACACACAUGUAUACACAUGCUAACUUGCUUACAGUCUAAAGCAAUGCAAAAUUAUGUUUAACCCAAAAAACUCAAUUCCAUUUUCUCAUUGUAUUAACACUUGUUUUAACCCUACAGAUAAACAUGUUUAUCUGCCAGGACUCUAUUUCAUCCCCUUGCCUCUCCUUGAAGGGAUUGUAAUAUUGAGUUUCCUCUUUUUCCCCACAUUCUAAAGCAACC